rnacentral:lncRNA from 1 species
GUGGUUUGGCUUGCGCUUGGGUGGAGCGGUUCAUCUUGGCCCUCGGUUUUGUUUGCUCUGAGGUUUCGAGGGGUCACGGCGACGCCGUCUUUCCGGCCAUGUACCCGUCCUCUUCUUUUCUUUUCUGUUGUUUUGUUCAUUUUCUGUGCUUUUGGGAGCCGGAAUUUUUUAGGGGCGAUGGUUCGGCCGGAGCUUCUGAAAAUUUUCCAACUCAGCUUCUUAGGCACCUUUUCUUAAACGAGUACUCAUUUUCCUCUUGUUGAGGUUUUAAUGAGGCUCGGCCCUUAGUUUGCUCCCCUCUGUACUCUCAAGGGUUUGGUUCCGCCGUCUUUU